rnacentral:pre_miRNA from 1 species
GGUUGGCACAGAGUAGUACUAUGUAAAAUUCUAUUCCAUAGUACGACCCAUGUCGGCCCA